ACACAUGCAAGUCGAACGGAGCUUAGAGAGCUUGCUUUUUAAGCUUAGUGGCGAACGGGUGAGUAACGCGUGAGUAACCUGCCCUAGAGUGGGGGACAACAGUUGGAAACGACUGCUAAUACCGCAUAAGCCCACGGUACCGCAUGGUACUGAGGGAAAAGGAUUUAUUCGCUUUAGGAUGGACUCGCGUCCAAUUAGCUAGUUGGUGAGGUAACGGCCCACCAAGGCGACGAUUGGUAGCCGGACUGAGAGGUUGAACGGCCACAUUGGGACUGAGACACGGCCCAGACUCCUACGGGAGGCAGCAGUGGGGGAUAUUGCACAAUGGGGGGAACCCUGAUGCAGCGACGCCGCGUGGAGGAAGAAGGUUUUCGGAUUGUAAACUCCUGUCGUUAGGGACGAUAAUGACGGUACCUAACAAGAAAGCACCGGCUAACUACGUGCCAGCAGCCGCGGUAAAACGUAGGGUGCAAGCGUUGUCCGGAAUUACUGGGUGUAAAGGGAGCGCAGGCGGGAAGACAAGUUGGAAGUGAAAACCAUGGGCUCAACCCAUGAAUUGCUUUCAAAACUGUUUUUCUUGAGUAGUGCAGAGGUAGAUGGAAUUCCCGGUGUAGCGGUGGAAUGCGUAGAUAUCGGGAGGAACACCAGUGGCGAAGGCGGUCUACUGGGCACCAACUGACGCUGAGGCUCGAAAGCAUGGGUAGCAAACAGGAUUAGAUACCCUGGUAGUCCAUGCCGUAAACGAUGAUUACUAGGUGUUGGGGG
rnacentral:rRNA from 1 species